rnacentral:rRNA from 1 species
GGGUGAGUAACACGUGGAUAACCUACCUAUAAGACUGGGAUAACUUCGGGAAACCGGAGCUAAUACCGGAUAAUAUUUUGAACCGCAUGGUUCAAAAGUGAAAGACGGUCUUGCUGUCACUUAUAGAUGGAUCCGCGCUGCAUUAGCUAGUUGGUAAGGUAACGGCUUACCAAGGCAACGAUGCAUAGCCGACCUGAGAGGGUGAUCGGCAACACUGGAACUGAGACACGGUCCAG